GACGCUAUGGACAGAGCGACGUUCAGGAGAAUGUCAGCCAGGAGGCGGGAACGUAACGGAGUUUACGUCACAGGGAAGGCUUCAGGACGGAGCAGGACACUCAGGAAUGAGUAAGGGACACCUCCAGGAUGGAGAAUGUGAGCCGUGCGGAGCAGGGCGAGCCAGGAUGCUAAGGAUGCUGUCAUGAAGACAGGCAAUGGAAAGCGCAGGAAGAGUUGUCACGGAUGAGCAGGGAGCACUGCGGUGGCGGGAAUGCUGCACAACGAACCGGGAGCACUGUUAUUAACAGUGCUCCCUUUUUUUAUG
rnacentral:other from 1 species